rnacentral:rRNA from 1 species
CUGUAAGCCUGUGAAGGUGUGCUGUGAGGCAUGCUGGAGGUAUCAGAAGUGCGAAUGCUGACAUAAGUAACGAUAAAGCGGGUGAAAAGCCCGCUCGCCGGAAGACCAAGGGUUCCUGUCCAACGUUAAUCGGGGCAGGGUGAGUCGACCCCUAAGGCGAGGCCGAAAGGCGUAGUCGAUGGGAAACAGGUUAAUAUUCCUGUACUUGGUGUUACUGCGAAGGGGGGACGGAGAAGGCUAUGUUGGCCGGGCGACGGUUGUCCCGGUUUAAGCGUGUAGGCUGGUUUUCCAGGCAAAUCCGGAAAAUCAAGGCUGAGGCGUGAUGACGAGGCACUACGGUGCUGAAGCAACAAAUGCCCUGCUUCCAGGAAAAGCCUCUAAGCAUCAGGUAACAUCAAAUCGUACCCCAAACCGACACAGGUGGUCAGGUAGAGAAUACCAAGGCGCUUGAGAGAACUCGGGUGAAGGAACUAGGCAAAAUGGUGCCGUAACUUCGGGAGAAGGCACGCUGAUAUGUAGGUGAAGUCCCUCGCGGAUGGAGCUGAAAUCAGUCGAAGAUACCAGCUGGCUGCAACUGUUUAUUAAAAACACAGCACUGUGCAAACACGAAAGUGGACGUAUACGGUGUGACGCCUGCCCGGUGCCGGAAGGUUAAUUGAUGGGGUCAGCGCAAGCGAAGCUCUUGAUCGAAGCCCCGGUAAACGGCGGCCGUAACUAUAACGGUCCUAAGGUAGCGAAAUUCCUUGUCGGGUAAGUUCCGACCUGCACGAAUGGCGUAAUGAUGGCCAGGCUGUCUCCACCCGAGACUCAGUGAAAUUGAACUCGCUGUGAAGAUGCAGUGUACCCGCGGCAAGACGGAAAGACCCCGUGAACCUUUACUAUAGCUUGACACUGAACAUUGAGCCUUGAUGUGUAGGAUAGGUGGGAGGCUUUGAAGUGUGGACGCCAGUCUGCAUGGAGCCGACCUUGAAAUACCACCCUUUAAUGUUUGAUGUUCUAACGUUGACCCGUAAUCCGGGUUGCGGACAGUGUCUGGUGGGUAGUUUGACUGGGGCGGUCUCCUCCUAAAGAGUAACGGAGGAGCACGAAGGUUGGCUAAUCCUGGUCGGACAUCAGGAGGUUAGUGCAAUGGCAUAAGCCAGCUUGACUGCGAGCGUGACGGCGCGAGCAGGUGCGAAAGCAGGUCAUAGUGAUCCGGUGGUUCUGAAUGGAAGGGCCAUCGCUCAACGGAUAAAAGGUACUCCGGGGAUAACAGGCUGAUACCGCCCAAGAGUUCAUAUCGACGGCGGUGUUUGGCACCUCGAUGUCGGCUCAUCACAUCCUGGGGCUGAAGUAGGUCCCAAGGGUAUGGCUGUUCGCCAUUUAAAGUGGUACGCGAGCUGGGUUUAGAACGUCGUGAGACAGUUCGGUCCCUAUCUGCCGUGGGCGCUGGAGAACUGAGGGGGGCUGCUCCUAGUACGAGAGGACCGGAGUGGACGCAUCACUGGUGUUCGGGUUGUCAUGCCAAUGGCACUGCCCGGUAGCUAAAUGCGGAAGAGAUAAGUGCUGAAAGCAUCUAAGCACGAAACUUGCCCCGAGAUGAGUUCUCCCUGACCCUUUAAGGGUCCUGAAGGAACGUUGAAGACGACGACGUUGAUAGGCCGGGUGUGUAAGCGCAGCGAUGCGUUGAGCUAACCGGUACUAAUGAACCGUGAGG